UGGGGAAUAUUGGGCAAUGGGCGAAAGCCUGACCCAGCAACGCCGCGUGAAGGAAGAAGGCCUUCGGGUUGUAAACUUCUUUUAAGAGGGACGAAGAAGUGACGGUACCUCUUGAAUAAGCCACGGCUAACUACGUGCCAGCAGCCGCGGUAAUACGUAGGUGGCGAGCGUUAUCCGGAUUUACUGGGUGUAAAGGGCGCGUAGGCGGGAAUGCAAGUCAGAUGUGAAAUCCAAGGGCUCAACCCUUGAACUGCAUUUGAAACUGUAUUUCUUGAGUGUCGGAGAGGUUGACGGAAUUCCUAGUGUAGCGGUGAAAUGCGUAGAUAUUAGGAGGAACACCAGUGGCGAAGGCGGUCAACUGGACGAUAACUGACGCUGAGGCGCGAAAGCGUGGGGAGCAAACAGGAUUAGAUACCCUGGUAGU
rnacentral:rRNA from 1 species